UAAUUUUGAACGAAAGGGAAUACGGUUCCGUAACCUGUUGAGUAUCCGUUUGUUAUUAAAUUUGGGCCUCGUGCUCAUCCUGGCAACAGGAACGACCAUAAAGAAGCCGUCGAGAGAUAUCGGAAGAGUUUUCUUUUCUGUUUUAUAGCCGUACUACCAUGGAAGUCUUUCGCAGAGAGAUAUGGUAGAUGGGCUAGAAGAGCAUGACAUACACUGUUGUGUCGAAAUUUUCUCCUCGGACCUUGAAAAUUUAUCCGCAGCUGGUCUCCAAGGUGAAGAGUCUCUAGUCGAUAGAAUAAUGUAGGUAAGGGAAGUCGGCAAAUUAGAUCCGUAACUUCGGGAUAAGGAUUGGCUCUGAAGAUUGAGAUAGUCGGGCUUGAUUGGGAAACAAUAACAUGGUUUAUGUGCUCGUUCUGGGUAAAUAGAGUUUCUAUCAUUUAUGGUAGUUACUUGUUCCCCGGAUAGUUUAGUUACGUAGCCAAUUGUGGAACUUUCUUGCUAAAAUUUUAAAGAAUACUAAUUGGGUUAAACCAGUUAGUUCUUAUUAAUUAUAACGAUUAUCAAUUAACAAUCGGACGGGACUUGGGUAAUCCGACUGUCUAAUUAAAACAAAGCAUUGUGAUGGCCCUAGCGGGUGUUGACACAAUGUGAUUUCUGCCCAGUGCUCUGAAUGUCAAAGUGAAGAAAUUCAAGUAAGCGCGGGUCAACGGCGGGAGUAACUAUGACUCUCUUACGUGAAGCGGAACUUUUUCGUCCCCAACACGGCUGGGUGUGUCAGCCCACGCGUUUGCUAACAGGUCAAGAUUAUCGAAACGGUAUCAAGCUGCGAAUAAAUGCCCUACCAUCGAGGUCUCUUACCACGAGGGGCAGAAAUGAAUUGGAACGGCAAUGUCGUGCAGGUUGUGAUGCUCCCGAAACAACAAACCACAUCCUGCAAAAUUGUUACCGUACGCAUGGGAGGCGGGUAGCAAGACAUAACUGUGUAGUCAAUAACCUUCAGAGGAUUCUUGAGGAGAAGGGCCACACAGUGCACGUCGAACCAAGUUUGCAGCUGGAAACCUCGGUAAGUAAACCAGACCUGGUGUGUAUCCGUGACAAUCACGCUUGCGUGAUUGAUGCGCAGAUUAUAACAGAUGGACUGUUUCUCGACGAUGUGCACCAUCGCAAAGUUGAGAAAUAUAAAAGACCUGAAGAUAUUUCUGCACUGCGGAGAGAAUUCGGAGUGUCGGGCAACGUUGAAGUCCUAUCCGCGACGUUAAACUGGCGUGGGAUCUGGAGCAAUCAAUCCGUUAGAAGAUUGAUAGCAAAGGGUCUCAUCUCAUCCGGUGACAGCAAUGUCAUCAGCGCCAGAGUGGUAACAGGCGGACUAUAUUGCUUCAGACAGUUCAUGUAUCUCGCAGGUUACACGCGAGAUUGGACUUAGCCUAUACACUAUGUUGGAGAGAGGACGCUUGCUACCUAGGCAUAAUGUGAAAUUAGGUAUAAACAUCGUGGUUGUAAAACUUGAGGUGGGUUUUUUGUACGUAUGCGUGAUUACUUCGUAAUCAUGAAUCGUGCAUGCUAGUGGGGUUUGGCCUCCACUAGUAUCUUUGAAGAUUUUCCUUCCUCAGAGAAAAAAAAAAAAAAAAAAAGCCAAAUGCCUCGUCAUCUAAUUAGUGACGCGCAUGAAUGGAUUAAUGAGAUUCCUACUUGCGGCGCAGAACGCGAGGAUUGGAAGCACUUCCUAUGU
rnacentral:ncRNA from 1 species